GUACUGUAUGUGGAGCAGUGUACAGUGGAAGCGGAGGCAGCGCGGCUCCGCGAGCUCCUCUCCACUUUCCCAUAGAGAGCCCCUGACUGGCCGCUGAGGGCGAGCCACACACACGCCCUCGCGCCGCGGCGAGCCCGCGAGGUCACUGUCAUAUGACAAAGGCUUUGCUGCAGUUCAUCUUCCUUCCUGUGUACCUCCAUUUACCUUCCAGGGUAAGUAUGCACACUCUUGAGAGAGGGAAGUGGGUGGCUAUUGGUAGGACAGAAGGGUCAUUAUUAGGUGCAUAUUAGGGUUAUAAUACUCUACCCCCCCACCAGCUUGUCUCAUUGAGUUUCUCACAGCAAAACUCAGGACUUUUAGUCCUUACAGUUCACCUGCAGGUUAUUGACAGUUCAAGAUAGUUUAGAUGUUUGUUUCUUGUUUAUCUGCAAGCGUCACUUGAAAGCUAAUUAUCAGACAGAUAUUUUAGUUGGUAGUGAAGUUUGACGGAGUCGAAGGCCUAAUAAAUUCGACAGACAUGAAUGUAGUAGAAAGCUUGUAAUGUAUGAAUGAAUUUAUUAAACGUCCAAGAAAGCACUGUAAUAAGGAGUUCUUUAAUUAUGUGAUGUGUUCGCUUUCUUCCAGAUUCUCACCUUUGACACUUGAAACAGUUACUUUCGGGUUGGGGAAGUUUGUAUUUAGGUAGUACAGUAAAUCUUUUAUUUAAUGUACAAGUCUCAUUCCAAAUUAGUGCUAACUUCCAUAAAUAUUUAUGCAGUUGGAGAAAUUGGGAGCAUUUCACUUGUCUUGUACAUAAACAGACAUCUACUCUGAGAUUUAUUGUUGACUGCCAUUUUCAGAUAUACGCCUCCCAAAUCUCCGAAAUGGAAAGUUCCGUAAAACGUAUCUGGGAUGGUUAGUGUCUGCAAAGUUUGUGAGCGAUAACAGGGUAGUGAAAACGGCGUUUGCACAGCCUUUAAGAGCAACAUGGUGGUUGGAAAACUACAGAAAACUAAUUAGCAAGUCGGCCCCUCCACUGUAAAGGCAUAUGGAGUUGCCGAUGGUCUAAGAAAACUAGCCGUACUGAACUUUAUAUGCAUCAACAGUGGUGUAUAUGAUAGUGCCGUAGUGGAUUAGAAACUGUGCUCUGUGAACGAGUUGUAGUUAGUUUUCCAUGAAGGAGAGCUUAGGAUGAUCCUUGCUUUUCUUGCUUCCUGAUUGGCUGGGUGGGAUAAUGUUCAUGUUAUUAAAAUGUGUUAGUGCUAAGGGGUUAAGUUUAAGACCAGGCCUUUGUGGUGGUCCACAGCCACUGACAAAUGUGCUUGGAUAUUACUGGCUGCUCGAGGGCAUCUAAAUUUUGUGGGAUUUUUUUUUUUUGAGUAAUGUAUUACACUGGUCCACAAAGUUAGGUAUUCCAGUCAGGGAUCUCAUAAUGUCACAUAUAUACCAACUGGAGUGGUUAUAAUGAGAAUAUUUUCUAAGGUGAGUUUAGUGUGUACCACCAUAAUACGUGGAUUCAGGAUUACUACUUUUUUAAGUUUUCUCUUUUCUCUGUAUGGGAUAGGUUCAGGAUACAUUACUGUGGUCUAAAGAACAUCCUCCCACGUACACACAAGGCCAAUUGUGUUCACUGUAGUGAACAUUAAAUGUUACCUUUCCCUUCGGAAAUGUAUUUGACCAAUUCAGAAACUUAGUAUGAGAAUCAAUACCUCAAUAAAAGCAAUCUGAUCAGCUCUUGUCCUUCUUUGAGAUAGCAAAUGCCUCCUUCAUUAAGACAGUGUUUUCAAGAACUGCCUUUGAAGUCGGUCCGGUUAUGGCGAUAGUGUACAACUUGCAGUGGGAUUUUUACAAGUCACCUUGCCGUGAAUUACUGGUUGUUUGCAUCCACAGCGUGUUUACUAGAUGUGACUCUUUACUUACCAAAGUAAGAAUUUAAAGAGGUUUCUGCUUCUGCGUCAUUGAGAGUUUCUAAAUUUUUCUUAUUCUGCAUAUCUAUUAAAUUCUGAAACUGAAAGCCUAAUUUGCGUUUCACGUAAACCACCAGCUAUUAGCAGGGCAGCUUAUCCAUGUUGUUUCAUGGGGCUGCGUCUUUGGAAUACUGGGGUGGAUUGUGGAACUCUCCAUUAUAGACCUCCAUUAUAGGUAUCUAGGAAGCUUUACAAUUUGAGACUUAAUAAAUCUAUCUCUGAAUCUGAUUUAAAAAGUGUUAUAUUUCUGAGUUAAUGAGAUAGCUUUGUUUUUAAUAUGGAAGGAAUAAUGAGCCUGAAAAUAAUGCUAUUUGGCAGCUAAACUAAUAAAACCACAUUUUCGGUAAAACUGCAAACUCCAAUCGUUCAUUAGCUAGCAUCCUUGAAGUGUCUUAUUUUCCUUACUUCAUAAAGAUCAUAGGUAACGGCAAGGUCCACGUCUCUAAGUGAGUCUUGCUGUGAAUAUCAUUUUUAUGUUAGAAAUCUUUAUUUGAAGUAAUGCAGGGUUCCAGGCACUACCUUACAAAAAAAAAACCCCAAAUAACUUGGGAGAGUGUCAUUACAGGUGUGCCUGUUUUUGCUGUACUAAAAGAAUGCCCACUUUCUUCUUAGUGUCUCAAAAGUGCUGACUGUGUUUCCAGUUAUGGUAAUUUAAUUAAUUUAGGUGCUUAAUUUUGCUGUACUGCACCAUCAGCAAUGUAGGACAUCAGUGAGUAAAGUGUUAAACAGGUACUUAGCUCAAGAAAAAGAUGCUUAAAACUUGUACUUUGCUGUCCACUCAAUUUCUAAUAACUCACCACCAAUAGCAGCUGUUAAAAUCGACUUGUUUGACAUGAUACCACUCCUCGGCUUCACAUCAGAUUUGUCUAUAUUUUUGAGUUACACAUGAGCAAAGUUUGAGUGUGGGUUCACCCUGUCUGCAUAGUUGAUCAUUUCAACAUUUUAAAGACUGCCAUUCCUUGGAAUACCAGUGCAUUCAUGGUGCAUCAUCUUAAAGCUGUCUAGAUUUAAAAAUCCUUGUAUGUUAACCGGAUUGUUAUCAUUUGUUUUUCCUUUCAAAGGAAAAUAAUAUGGUAAGUACUGGAACAGGUGCCAGUUAAGCAAGAGCAUGCUUAGGAAAGCCAUGCAGUGAGGAAUUCUAUCUAAAACUGUAAGUGGAAGAUGAGAAAAUAAGGGGUCGAAAGGUUUCACAGAUUAAAUUCCAUGGAGUAUUUGACUUAGCCACCAGAAUACAUAGUUAAAUUCUACCAAUCAGUUUGAGGGGUUAGGUGGUGAAAUAACUCCACCGAACGAGGAGGUUGGAUAAAAAAAACAAAGGGAAAGUCAUUAAGAAUGAGAAAAGCCAAAAUACUGCAAAAUGUUGGUUAAAUAAUUCUAUGAGUACUUAAGCACAGACCUCAGAAAGGGGUUAUGACAGAAACCCUUAGAAUGGAAUAACUAAGAUCUUUAAAAAAUAAUGACAAAAGGAAAUGAAGAUAAAAAUAGUUAAAACAGCUAUAUUUCUUAAACAUUUUUGACUGAGUUAUGCAAUACUGUUUUACUUUGCAAACAGCAUCUGAGUCUAAGCAUGUCUGCUGAGACAGUAUAUGGCACCCUCUGAUAGUUUCUGUCUCUAUAGAACCUUUUUAUAAGUUGCAUUUGUUCUAAGCUAUUUUAUUAAACAAAGUCCUCCAAACUGACUUUAUGACUUAUUGUUUGAAAAUACCAAUCUUGAGUGCAUGCUAAAAAAUGGAGGCACCAUUACUAGAUAUUCUGAUUCGGUGAGGCCCAGAAAUUUAGAUUUUAAUCAGUACAGAAGGUGAUUUUUGCAGUAGGUGGGAAGGACUUUGAGAAAUUCUGGCAUAAUGGACUGAUGGCUACAGACUGACAGAAGUUACCGCUGAAGUGUUUGACUGCUGAAGUCUGUUCCAGCUUCCCCAAAUUCAGGCCAUGUUUCAGUGUGCUCAGUGCAAGACUGGCAGUCUUCCUCACUGUGAAUAUUCCUGUGUUUGUGUGUACAGGACAAGGGACAGAGCCUUUGCACAGGAAGAGCCCUAGGCUCUACUCUGCGUUCUUUGUAGCAGACAAGUUGAGGGACUUAGAGAUUGUCUCCUCAUAGCUUUAGUUUUAAAAAGGUUUCUUUAAAUUAAAUGAUGUUUAGUGUACGUGCAGAAUGUAAUUACUAUGCAACAGUGUGAGAACUACACAAGACAGUAAUGUCGAUAAAGGUUCUUAGCAUUAGUGCUGUGUACUCAGCACUGAGUAUGUAGUGUCUGCGUUUUAUUGGACAAGUAAUUAGGGAAGGAAAUAAUAAUAAUGAUAAUAAUAAUAAUAGUAGUAGUAGUAGUAAUAGUAGCCAGGAAAAUAAAAAGCUAAGGCAUGCUAUAGUGGUUUUGGAUCUGGGGAAAAGUUGUCUAACAACUUGAAGAAGGCAGGGGCUGUUGUUUGUUUUACAGCUCUGUGGUAGAGUGCUAUAUGUAUAAAGCCCAGGCUUCAGCCUGCACCCCUGCCAACCAAAAGCACAGCAUAGGACAAGAGGACAAGAAAAUGACUUUUCAUGUUUCAGUGUUUCAAGGUGCUUGGUUGAGCGCAUUGAACAUUAUUCUUUUCUGAUAACUUUUUUUUUUCAUGCUAGGAUGCCUUAGAAUUUAGUGGUUCUCAACUUGUGGGGUAGGGGAGUCACAAACCAAAUAUCUGAUUCAUAACAGUAGCAAAAUGACAGUUAUGAAGCAGCAAUGAAAAAAUUUUACGGUUGGGAUUCACCACAACAAAGAACUGUAUUAAAGAGUCACAGCAUUAGGAAGGUUGAGAACACUGCCUUAGAUCAUGUAUCCUAAAACUUCCAUUAAGACACAUGACUAAUGUUUACAUAUGGGCAUUAUGAAUCCUACACUGUAUCCUAGCCAUGCUGUGGGUUUAUAUAGAAGUUCUCUGUGUGAUAAAAACUACUCCUUUCCUUAUCAAGAAGAUGUAUCAGAGUAUAAGUAAGAAUGAUAUAAUAAAACUCUUAAAUCUACUCUACAUGUAAAAUUGGUUAUAAACAUACUUCCUUCUAACUAAUCAUUCAGGGCGUUCUUUAGAAACCAUUGAAAUUAGCUCUCUGCAAAGAUAAAUCUUAGUGCUUAAUAAGUUACAUUUCAAAGAAAGGACAAGGUAAGGAGAAGAUGAAUGGGACAUACACGAGCCCAAAAGCUAGGGGUAGCAGAACAGGAGCUCACAUGGGAAGAAAGUAUAGGUGUUGGGUGUUAGGGUUCCCAACAGCACCAUUUUAAGUUUGCAUGUUGCUCUGCACAUAGACAUUCAUUUUUAGGUAGCCUUAAUCAUCAUUUAAUUUAAAUAAAAUUAAAUUAAGCUACUUUUGUAUUUUCUAAGUUUUAGAAUUAGCACUGCCAGAAACUCCUUCCCACUUUAUGAAUUCUAUUUGUCAAUUUUAGACUCUCUAAUAAGUUAGUAAGCUUUGUAUGUUUUGACACUGUCUUUGUAUUUUCAUGUGUCUUGAAUAUAGAUUCACAUUAUUGAAAGAGUAAAGUUUGUUUUCCCUCAAAACACUGGUAUCAAUGUUCAUUUGGGACCAACACUGAGCCCUGUCAGAGGAUUUUUCAAAUACUUUUCAAGUCCGUUCACAUAGCAAUGUAUGGUCAUUAUUUGCUCUAUUGUAGUCUAGCUAGGGGUUUUAUAUAAUCUGUGGUGUUUGUAGCGUUUUGCUGCAUUAAAACCCAGGAAAACCCUUCAAAAGUCUGAAUCUGCAUUUGUGUAUAGAGGUAUGGGCUUUAAGUAAGGAUGGGGAUCCUUUAGAAUUAACUCCUUGAGUCCACGGAGUGAAUUGUCAGCUCUUCCUGCCUGUUUGGCCACAAGGAGCCUCUUUUUGCUGACUUUAAUAUGUGAUCAUGCACCGGGCCGACUGGCUUCACUGCAAGCUUGGAACUGCUUUGCUGUGCCUAUGUUUACAUGUAAGGGGUCAGGGGUAUAAAGCCAGGUAAGCCCCAGUGUUGUCCUUAGUGCCUGAACCCUCAGGUGAGCAGAGGGAAUGGCCUCUGGAAUAGAAGGGUUCACACACACACGAACUACUCAAGCUUAGGUGAGUUUCCUGUAUCCCAUUGUUAUAGUUUUUAAUUUUAUCAAACAAACACAGACCUCUAAAACGUUUAGAAGCACUCAGUCAUUUCUUAGACCAUUGAACACAGUGCAGGGUAGCUUCAGGGUGUUUUACUGCUAUUGGACGUUUCAUGGAAUGGUUAUAUUUAUCUCAUCAUUUUGUCACUUCCCUGUGUUUCUUCCCAUCACCCCCCCCCCCAAAAAAAAGUGUUCCCGAAAAUUUAUUUUAUUGUUAGAUAAGAAUGUUGUGAGUUCGUUUUAUAGAGAUGACCAAUUCCUUCUUUUUAAAAUUAGAAAAUGUUAAGAUUAUGCCUGUUGCUUUUAAGUUCCAAUGUAAGCAUUGUGGGUAAAUGAAAAUUUGCUGUGAAGAUAGUAUCUGACAGUAUAUUACCUUCUAGGAGUAGAGUAACACCUUGUCUGGUUUGUCACUAUGCUAAAAUGUUCAAUCAGUUGUCACUGACAGACACUCACACUGGUACACUGAAGAACGGUUGCUUUGAUAAUGCUUUCAUUAUUUAUGGGACUGUACUCCUCCAUGUAGGAGAGCUGCAGAUUGAGGACUCAGAGGCAGUUUUAUUAGUCAUGUUGAUUAUUGUAAUAUUAAUAAGUUCUGAGUGUCACUGCCCGUCCUGGCUUUUUAUUUAAAGAUGUUUUUGUUUUAUAGUCCUGGCUGGUCUUGAACUCAAUCCUGCCUCUGCCUGACCAACUGCUGGUAUUAUUGCCUGUAUCACUAUGCCUGGCUAUAUUAUUAUUAUUAUUACUAUUUUGGUGUGCCUUCUAAAACUUACCAAAGUGUAGUUCUGUGAUUCAUUAUAAAUGGAGUGUAGUGGUGCCCAAAACAAAAUGAGGAGGAAAUAAAUGUCAAAUUUUGGUUAUUUUCUAAGUUGUGGAAAUUUAACUUUCCCUUUUCUUCAUUCUCUCUUUCUUUACCCUUUAUUUCUGCUGCUUCCUUUAUCUCCCUUCCCUCUCUUUUCUUUCCCUUCCUCCAUCUCCAAUCUCCCUCUGAGCCUGUACACUGCCUGUAAAAUUUUAAAAAGAAUGUGGAGGUAAAUUUUAUUUUUUAAACUUUUAUUUGAUUUUAAAAAUUUAUAGGUUUCAAAUCAUUUUAGCAUUUAAUGCCGCUCAUAUAAUAAAAUGGUUGGUAAAUGAGUUUGAAACUUGUAAACAUUCCUACAUGUGUCAGUUAGGACAGUGUUAGGAGGAACCUUCAGCAGGGCUGUGUGAAAUAAAGACACCUGUUGCUUUGAUGAAGUAGAUUGAGCUAAAUUUCAUAUUCUUUAAGGCUUUGAAGGUGAUGGGACAGCUAGUAUUUGAUUAAUAUUCACUGGGUGUGUUUUAUAGAAGGGUUUCCCAAGUUGUGUUUUACACUGGGAGGAAAAGAGAAAGCGAACUUAGAUGGAGAGCUUUAUUUUCUACACAGUUUUACUAGUUUAUUUUCUAUAAUAACUUUCAGAUGAGAGAAGCCUCUGUUUUAAUGACAAGGAAACCAAGUCUCAGGAUAAGUAACUUGUCUGAGGUCAUACAGCUAGGCAGGGAUUUUGCAAGGUGUAGUGCCAGUGUACAGUACCGUGGUCUCCUGGGACUUGGUCUAUAUUUACCUGUCAUUAGGGCCACAUUCCAAGAAGCAAGACAUGAAAAAGUUUGGACAAAAGUCCACCAAAAAGUCCACAGAUUUUCUUUCUCUCAAAGAGAAGUCUUCAUUCUGAAAUGAUGGAACACUGUUCUUUCUCACUUUUAAAGGAAUUUUGAGAAGGUCCCAUUAUGACAGGGUCUAAUGUAGACUUUAAUGCAUACGAUUACUGUGAAAGGCACAACCAGCUCCAAGCUUUGCUUACUAACAAGUCAACUUUCUUUUUUGUUUCUUUGUCUUGUACCAAAAUGCCCAUAGCUAUUCUUCCUUUUAAUAUUUGUAAUUUCUAUAACGCGUCAGUAGACGUCUUUUCCUUUAUGAGCAGUUGACUUUUCUCAUGUUUGUGUUCCAUAUGUGAUGUUUGUGUUCUGGAGUUCUUUAAUACCCAAUUAAUAAGUAUAUUUUAUUGGAGGAAUUUGACAGUAUCACAUAGGGAGUACUAUAAAGUAGUUCCCUGACAUUUACUUUGAAAGAAAAUUCAAUAUUAGUGGAAAAAUUGCCAAGUAUAUUUUAUUUCUGGGCAUUCAUAUUUGAGUGCCUGUCGGUCAAAUUUAAAUUAUGUGUAGAGUUAGAAGUUUCAAAUUCAUCAGGCUUUGAGAAUGGGUUGAGAUAUGUGUCUCCCUUUAUUUUACCUAAGAAACUGACUUCUAUUGUGAUAGGUGGAAUAUAGUCAAUAAGAUAAAAGUUUGCAUAGGGAAAAUGUUUGUGAGUAAAAAUAUAAAGUAACAUUUUUAUUACUGAGAUCCACAGUCAUAUGAAAUCAGUCUUUUUAAAAAGGUUUAUCUUUGUUUUGUUUGUGUGAGUGUUUUGUCUGCAUGUAUAUCGUGCACCGCAUGCGUUCAUUUAGUGUCAGUGGAGGCCAGAAGAGGGUGUCAUAUCCCUUGGGACGGAGUUAGAGACAUUCCGAGCUGCCUCGUGGGUGGUGGGACCAAACUCUGGUCCUCUGCAAAAGCACUGAGUGCCCACUCUUACCUCUGAGCACCUCUCUGCGCCCUCAUUUUUUUUUUUGAGACAGGGUUUUCUGUGUGUUUCUCAAGCACUGGAAUUAAGUGCUCAGCUAGGGUAUGUGUGCCAGUUACUUUGUUUUGUUGGUCAUUUUUGUUAUUUCCCCCCCCUUUGACCCUGAGGGUGGAAUCCAGGGCCUCAAGCUUGGUAGGUAAGUAAGUGCUCUACCAUUGAGCUAAAUCCCAACUCCUCAAUUUUUACUUUAUUCUUUUUUUGUUUUAAUUCUGAAAAUUCAGCACUCAGCCUAGUUCGAUUAUAAAAGAUUGCAAGUUCGUCUUUUCCUUCUUAGAAUGGCUCUCCUUUCCCCCCUUAUUCAUGAGACUCAUGAAUAACAUGUUUAAGGAGGCUGUUGGGAUAGUCAUCUUUUUCGGCUAUGGCAGAGUUUUGCUUUACUCGCAUUGGUCCAAUGAUACCGUGCCGAAGGCGCUGAUUUUCUGUUUAUUGUUUUUACCUCCCCCUCCACCCCCACUACUUUCAGACUGUUCUCCUUCAGGUAGCUUGUAACUCGAGUUAAUUAUUUAUGAUAAUUGGCACACUUCUUUCUCCUUUAUAUCUUAAGUUAUAUUCAAACAACAGUAUUUUCCAAAUAAAGAAAUUUGAUCAUAUGCCGGUGAGAUUUAACUAGUUAAAAACUCUGGUCAGUCAGCAUUUAUGCAUCAAGUGCCUACUGUGUGUUGGUUGAUACUUGGCCUGGACUUGGGAGAUAUAAAAGUAAAUACAAAAUAAUUGUUGUCCUCAAAGUAAACAUGGAGCCAGAAGACGUAAAUAUUUACCGUGUACAUUAAUACAUACCAAUUGUUCUCUAUAACUAUAUAUAACUAUAUAACUAUAUAACUAAAUAUAUAUAUGUAUAUAUAUAUACACAUAUAUAUAUAUACACACACACACACACACACACACACACACACACACACACACACACACACACACACACACACACUGUUAUAUUAAGAGUAUAUAAUAGUCCUAAGAAGGAGCUGGUAAUAACCAGACCCCUUCUAGCACAGGAGUGGAACACUGAAAUCUAGGUGGGACUUUCUUCUCGUGACAGUUGUCUUUGUCCUAAGUGUAAAAGUAAUUUGAGCACUGGAGUGUGUUUUGAAGAGUCAGCCUUAUAGUUUGGUGGUGCAUAUGUCGAAUCCCAGCAUUUAUUUGUAAGACAGAGACUUUGGAGGAUGGUGGCGAAGUCUAGGCCAUUUUGCCCUGGAUAAUGAUUCCAAGCCAGUCAAGGCUAAAUAGUGAGAGAGUUUUUCAAAAACAAACCAAAUCCCCAAACAAAUACCACCACCCCAAAUUCACCACAAAAAUCAAUCCGGAUUAGAAAUAGGAAACAAGUUCGUAAUGUCGAUUUUAUUUUAUUUUAUUUAAAUAUCAGUAUAUCCUUUGAUAACAUUUAAAAUUCAGUUUUAUUCUAGUCAAGUUUUAAGAGUUUGCUGUUUAGUUAUUGCUAUCAGUGGCAUAAAGUGUAAUAAUACUAUGGCUGAACAGAAGUGUUUGUGUAAUUUCUCAUAGAGGAUUCCGUACACACCAACGUUAAAGGCAUGGCUAAUAGACUAGAAUAGUAAAUGUGAACUAGAUAUAAAAGGGCCAGAGGGCAUGCCAGUGCAGAUACGUACUAAAGGCAUUAGUACUUUCGCUGAAAUUGUACUAGUUGGAAGUAUCCUAAUAAUAUUUCUAGUUCGAGUAUUAGUGUGGAUUGUAUAGGAGCCCACGAGAGAUAAUAGUAAGUUGUACCUAGUUCCUUCAUCAAGUAGUUGUCUGGUUUCUCAGGGCGUUUUCAACCUGUACGUGGAUUUAUUUGUUUAGGAAGCUGGGGUCUGGCAGGCCUUCCAGUGUGGUCCUUGUUUGCAUUUAUUCAUAAUGAAUUAUAAUCAUGGCUUUUGUAUUUUUCCACCUAGUUUCAUUUGUGUCCCGCUCUAGGCUGGUGACUUCUGACUCUCAGCAUAGGGUAGAGUGAAACUUUAUUUCUAUAAUACUGUACUCAGUGUUCCCAGUUGUCAGCUCUGUUUGCUUUUAUAACAAAUACAUUAAAAAAAUGAUAGCGUAAGGGAGAAGCUAAUCUGGGAAAAUGGUUCUUUAUAAAGUCACAUCAUGGAUAAUGUCUGUAAUGUUUUCAUCAGAGUAGCAAGGAGGACAGAAAUGCAGAUUAACAACACGUGAGUCUUUUUUCUAGUCUCUGUUUUUGAGCCAUUUGGCUUUAUUGAAGAACAGGCAUUAAAUCUUACUAUUUCCCAAUCCUUCUGGAAAUAGUGAAUGUCUUUACAAGUCUCAUCUAUCUGUAGACACACGUUCUGAUCUUACUUGGUUCUAGACCUGGAACACUCAUAUGGAUUUGUUGUGCGGCUGGGUUUUGUCUUACGUUCAUGAUUUUCUGCUUAUAAUCUCUGCAUAAAUAAUGCAAACUGUACACGUCUGUAAUUUGGAAGACCUUGUACACAGAGCUAAGCUUCUGAGGACACAUUCACAUAAGUAGUGAUGAGCUUACCAGGGAAAACGUUGGUAUCAUUCUAGAUACAUAGACUUCAAAUACAGUAGGUGGCCUUUCAGCUCUAUAAGCAGCUCUUAAGAAUUAGGAAAAAGAUGUACUUUUUAUAAGUGGUGCUCUAAAAAGUUUUGACUCAGUUUUUCAAAAUAUAAAAGUAUGUUUUUGUUGACAUAAUUUUAGGACACCUUAUUUUUAUUUCUAAUUGAUACUUGCUUAGGAGCGGCUGGUUUUGCAGGUUGGAGUUUUAUCCCCAAAUCCUAAUAUAAUUAGUGUUCUUUAAAAUAUCUAUCGG
ensembl:lncRNA